UGCAGUCGAGCGCCCCGCAGGGGGAGCGGCAGACGGGUGAGUAACGCGUGGGAAUCUACCCAUCACUACGGAACAACUCCGGGAAACUGGAGCUAAUACCGUAUACGUCCUUCGGGAGAAAGAUUUAUCGGUGAUGGAUGAGCCCGCGUUGGAUUAGCUAGUUGGUGGGGUAAUGGCCUACCAAGGCGACGAUCCAUAGCUGGUCUGAGAGGAUGAUCAGCCACACUGGGACUGAGACACGGCCCAGACUCCUACGGGAGGCAGCAGUGGGGAAUAUUGGACAAUGGGCGCAAGCCUGAUCCAGCCAUGCCGCGUGAGUGAUGAAGGCCCUAGGGUUGUAAAGCUCUUUCAACGGUAAAGAUAAUGACGGUAACCGUAAAAAAAGCCCCGGCUAAUUUCGUGCCAGC
rnacentral:rRNA from 1 species